UACGAAGGGGGCUAGCGUUGCUCGGAAUCACUGGGCGUAAAGGGCGCGUAGGCGGCUUAUCAAGUCGGGGGUGAAAGCCCGUGGCUCAACCACGGAAUGGCCUUCGAUACUGGUAGGCUUGAGUCCGGAAGAGGACAGCGGAACUGCGAGUGUAGAGGUGAAAUUCGUAGAUAUUCGCAAGAACACCAGUGGCGAAGGCGGCUGUCUGGUCCGGUUCUGACGCUGAGGCGCGAAAGCGUGGGGAGCAAACAGG
rnacentral:rRNA from 1 species